rnacentral:rRNA from 1 species
CACGCCGUAAACGCUGAUUACUAGGUGUAGGGGGUAUAGACUCCCUCUGUGCCGCAGUUAACGCAUUAAGUAAUCCACCUGGGGAGUACGGCCGCAAGGUUAAAACUCAAAGGAAUUGACGGGGGCCCGCACAAGCAGUGGAGCAUGUGGUUUAAUUCGAGGCUACGCGAAGAACCUUACCAGGGCUUGACAGGAAACUUAAGACCCUAGAGAUAGGGGGAUAAUAAGUGAAACAGGUGG